CAGCUCCUCCUCAUCAACUCACUGACUCGGCUCUGGUCCGUCUUGAUCAUGUCCAGGCCUAACUGGAACUCCUUGGGGAUGGACGGGUGGGCUGACUCGCUGUGAUGUGCAUUCUGGCGAGCUUGGCUGAAGGGACGGUGAGGAGAUGAAGACCAUGAAGGCAGAGGACAGGAAGAGGACAGGAUAUUCAGUCCACUAUACUACUGAUCAGUGCCAUUCAGCUCCAGCCCUUUCUGUUUAGAAUCUUUGGAUUUUUCUGUGGAACUAUCCAGUAGUUCUCUGUCUAAUGUAGAUGAAUCUCAAGCAAGGAGACAAACAUUUGGCUUUCAAUCUCAAAAUGGACUGGGGGUAGCUGUUAGUAUGAAAACGCUCGUCAGAGUGACGGUGUCUUUAGACCUGUGAGGACUCGACCUGAUCAGCACUGAUCUUAAAACAACAUAGAACAUCUGGGGGCAACAAAACCAUCAGCUGAAAACCUACGCUGACAUCUUUAUGAGAAGCAAGCGGUUCAUUAUGAAAGUAUCCCAACAGUUCAGCAGUUCUGUGUGUCUUCAGGAUUAUAAAUACCAGUAAUCUGUUUGAAAUGAAAGUGCAAAGACAUCACUCAGUACUGUAGAACUGACAAAUAAACUAACAAUUCAUGGAACGCUGACUGUACAACAGGAGACAAACAAUAUAAAACUGAUAAGUAGAAUAUGAAGUUACUUAUUCUCCUUUCAACAAAUACAUCUGAAGCCUCCAAUUAU